UACGAAGGUGGCAAGCGUUGUUCGGAUUUACUGGGCGUAAAGGGAGCGUAGGUGGUGGGGUAAGCCCCGCGGGAAAGCUCCAGGCUUAACCUGGAAAGGUCGCGGGGGACUGCUCCGCUCGAGGACGGGAGAGGAGCGCGGAAUUCCCGGUGUAGCGGUGGAAAUGCGUAGAGAUCGGGAGGAACACCAGUGGCGAAGGCGACUUUCUGGCUGCUAACUGACGCUGAGACGCGAAAGCUAGGGGAGCGAACGGG
rnacentral:rRNA from 1 species